GACGAACGCUGGCGGCGUGCCUAAUACAUGCAAGUAGAACGCUGAAGGAGGAGCUUGCUUCUCUGGAUGAGUUGCGAACGGGUGAGUAACGCGUAGGUAACCUGCCUGGUAGCGGGGGAUAACUAUUGGAAACGAUAGCUAAUACCGCAUAAUAGCAGUUGUUGCAUGACAACUGUUUGAAAGGUGCAAUUGCACCACUACCAGAUGGACCUGCGUUGUAUUAGCUAGUUGGUGGGGUAACGGCUCACCAAGGCGACGAUACAUAGCCGACCUGAGAGGGUGAUCGGCCACACUGGGACUGAGACACGGCCCAGACUCCUACGGGAGGCAGCAGUAGGGAAUCUUCGGCAAUGGACGGAAGUCUGACCGAGCAACGCCGCGUGAGUGAAGAAGGUUUUCGGAUCGUAAAGCUCUGUUGUAAGAGAAGAACGAGUGUGAGAGUGGAAAGUUCACACUGGGACGGUAUCUUACCAGAAAGGGACGGCUAACUACGU
rnacentral:rRNA from 1 species